UCCGGUUUGUCACCGGCGGUCUCCUUAGAGUUCCCACCAUUACGUGCUGGCAACUAAGGACAAGGGUUGCGCUCGUUGCGGGACUUAACCCAACAUCUCACGACACGAGCUGACGACAGCCAUGCAGCACCUGUGUUCGAGUUCCCGAAGGCACCAAUCCAUCUCUGGAAAGUUCUGUAGAUGUCAAGGCCAGGUAAGGUGGGGAUGACGUCAGAGAGUACGUCC
rnacentral:misc_RNA from 1 species